GAAAUCCUUCCAUUUGUAUUUUCAUCUUGAAGUCAUCAAUUACAUAAACAACCAACAAAUGUAGUGUAUUUUUGGAUUAUACACAGACAAAUGCCUUACAUACAACAUCUUCCUUUUCUUCCCCCUGCUAUGUGUCGGGUUCAAUUUUGAAGUUGAACCAGAAAAAAAGUAGUACAUCCCAUUUUCGGUCAUUUUGAGGCUAUUUGAUGCUGCCCUCCA
rnacentral:misc_RNA from 1 species